rnacentral:rRNA from 1 species
GCUAGGACGAACGCUGGCGGCGUGCCUAAUACAUGCAAGUCGAACGGUCUUUCUAUGGAAGCUUGCUUCCACUGAGAAGAUAGUGGCGAACGGGUGAGUAACACGUGGGUAACCUGCCCAUAAGAGGGGGGAUAACAUCCGGAAACGGGUGCUAAUACCGCAUAGUUUUCUUGAUCGCAUGAUCGGGAAAGGAAAGACGGCCUUUGUGCUGUCGCUUAUGGAUGGACCCGCGGCGUAUUAGUUAGUUGGUGAGGUAACGGCUCACCAAGACGAUGAUACGUAGCCGACCUGAGAGGGUGAUCGGCCACAUUGGGACUGAGACACGGCCCAAACUCCUACGGGAGGCAGCAGUAGGGAAUCUUCCGCAAUGGACGAAAGUCUGACGGAGCAACGCCGCGUGAGUGAAGAAAAGGUUUUCGGAUCGUAAAACUCUGUUGUCAGAGAAGAACAAGUUGGAGAGUAACUGCUCCAGCCUUGACGGUAUCUGACCAGAAAGCCACGGCUAACUACGUGCCAGCAGCCGC